CUGCGGGCGGCCCGCGCGGUGUUUACCCGCGGUGCAUGGUGGGGCGGUCUCCUCCGGCAACCGCCACCCGUCGGCCGCCCAGAGGCUGUGCUGAGCUGGCGCAGCGACAGCAGCAUGAACUGGACCCACGCAUCGUCCGUGCCCUUGUCGAGUCCCGAAUACUACGAGAGGGUGAGCCAGCUCCAGCAGAGGCUGCGGGAGAGUGAAAAGAAGAGAUUGGACCUGGAAAAGAAACUUUAUGAAUAUCAUCAGUCUGAAACAUACAGAGUUAAGCUGAAAUAUGUAAAACUAAAGAAUUAUCUGAAGGAAAUAUGUGAAUCUGAAAAGAAGGCUCAUGCUCGAAACCAAGAAUAUUUAAAGCAAUUUGAGCGUUUCCAAGCUCAUGCUGUAUACUUCACCACAAACACAGAGAAGCUUCAAAAACUGAAGCCUACAACAGCACCUGGUAUUCCUAGGAGUCUCCCAUCCAAGUAUGAAACAGGCCCAACCCUGCUUAGCCUUCAAGAUCAGAUGAGAGCAAGCGUGUUCAGGGUGCUUGAAUAUGAGACUCAAAUUAAGAAGAUGCUACUCUCAAAAGAUAGUCUGGGACUAAAAGGUGAACUGAAAGAUGAAGACAGAGAAAAGAUUGCAAUGCAGGAGGGAAUUAACUCAGGAACAGCCAUGUCAAGAGGAUUGUAUCAACCAGCAACAAUCUUUAUGGGCCGCCAAAUGUCAGCCGUCUCAAGCAUGGGAGAUUUCAGUACAGAGCACAAAUCUCCCCAACCCACAAAGAACUUUUCAAUUCCUGACCCACAUUCACACCGACAGAUAGCCCAGAGAAGUAAUGUGACAGACAGCUGUGUAGUACAAACUAGUAAUGACACACAGUGCUUAAAUAAGUCUGACAGCAUAGAUGGAAAGGCAUCUCUUCAGAUUGGUGAGAAAACGCCAGUCACAGCCAGUGUAUUGUCUGAGGAGGAACACACUCAUUGUUUGGAGAUAGGAAGUAAUACACGUCAUGGCAAGAGUAAUUUAUCUGAAGGCAAAAAGUCUGCUGAGCUCAAUUCCCCGUUACAGGAAAGAUUAAGUCCAGAGAACAGAACCACUGAUUUAAAGUGUGACAGUUCCAGCAGAUCAGAGGGAUCAGAGGGAGAAAUACUGACACGGGAACAUAUUGAAGUUGAGGAAAAAAGAGCCAGCCCGCCAGUCUCUCCGAUAUCAGUUUCAGAAUACUGUGAAUCUGAAAAUAAGUGGUCUCAAGAGAAGCAUUCUCCUUGGGAAGGUGUUUCAGAUCACCUUGCUCACGGGGACCCAAAGUCACAAAAGCCCUUCAGAAAAAAGCAGGAAGAGAAGGAGGAGGAAAGUUGGAGCACCAGCAGUGACCUCACUGUUUCAAUAAGUGAAGAUGACCUGUUUUUAAAGAGCCCAGAACCACAGCCAAAUCCAGGUGGCAAGAUGGAGAGAGAAGAUGGAAUAGAGGCCUUAAAAUUAAUCCAUGCUGAGCAAGAAAGAGAUGCCCUAUCCACUGAAAAAAAUAAUUGUAUUUUGCAAACCCUAAGCUCUCCUGAUUCAGAAAAGGAAUCCUCCACUAACGCACCAACUAGAGAACCUGGACAAGCACCAGACUCAGGCGUACCGAGGGCACCAGUGGGUCAGCAUGUUGCCACCUUGAAAAAACAUGAUAAUUCUCUCAAAGAAGAGGCAACAGCAUUAUUGAGAAAAGCCCUUACAGAAGAGUGUGGCCAUAGGUCAGCUAUUCACAGUAGUGAAUCAUCUUGCAGCUUGCCGUCUAUUCUGAAUGACAGUAGUGGAAUAAAGGAAGCCAAACCUGCUGUAUGGCUCAACAGCGUUCCUACAAGGGAACAAGAAGUUUCAAAUGGCUGUGGAGACAAAAGCAAGAAAGAAAACAUGACUGCAGAUAUCCCAAUCACAGAAACAGAAGCCUACCAGUUGCUGAAGAAGGCUACCCUUCAGGAUAAUACAAAUCAAACUGAAAACAGGUUUCAAAAGGCAGAUGCUUCUGUGUCACACUUGUCAGUCAUGGAAUUUGAAUCCAGAGGGAUAUUAGAAAGAAUGUAUUCAACACUCCUAUUUUACAAAUGAGUCCCCAGGAGAGUAACACCUUGCUCAGAGCCUUUCAGCUGGAUAAAUGACACACAUACUUUGGAAAGUGACUCCACACAUCUGUUUCUGAUGCCCAUGCAUGCUGUGUCUCUGAUUGUGACUGCCAAUUAAGAAGCAGACCUGUAGCAGAAAUAUCCAAGGCUGAGAACUCCCAGAAGGCAAAGGUCAGGGGUUGCCCUGCAAAAACUGGGGGCAUUGUGGGAAUAUCCAAGUCUCUGGCUCCAGAGAAAGAGGUGGAGUGUGCAUCCUCCUCCUCAACCUUUAGAGGCUGGUAAAGAGUGGCCUUGAUGAUUUUCAGUGGAGAUUCUUUCUCCUCUGUGGGAUGGAAAAUAGAGGAUUUUACAGAGGGGCUUAAGAGCGGAUAAGGUGGGUAACUCAUCCACGGAUCUCAAUUAUUUCUGAGCCCUGGUUUGCUGCCCGUGUGUUAUAACAAUGGGAAUUAUCCAGUGCUUUGUGAUACAGUAGAGAUCCAUAUGCCUACAUGUGCAUCUUGGUCAUUUAAAAUUGAAUUCUUUGGACGAUUUCAGUUUUCAUUUUUUGUGGCUACUGUUUAGGUAUCACAGGAAAGCGGCCUACUCCCUUUCAAUAUUCUACCAGCAUUUCAUUCUCUGCCUCAGAAGCUCCCUUGCCUUCUGUGGCUUGAACAGAUUCUUCCUCUGCUGGCGUUUGUUUCACCAAACUUACUGUGAGGCCACUUUAUUCAUUUUGUCCCGUGGCUGCAUGACAGCUAACCCUCACCAUGUUUACGCUUA